UUUCCAAUAAUUUUUGUUCGA
ensembl:piRNA 21ur-14030 ncRNA